rnacentral:tRNA from 1 species
GGAAGGGUCGCAUAGAGGCCUAUUGCGCUCGCUUGGAAAGCGGGUAUACCGCAAGGUAUCGUGGGUUCGAAUCCCACCCCUUCCG